rnacentral:rRNA from 1 species
GGUUAAGUUAGAAAGGGCGCACGGUGGAUGCCUUGGCACUAGGAGCCGAAGAAGGACGGGACUAACACCGAUAUGCUUUGGGGAGCUGUACGUAAGCGUUGAUCCAGAGAUUUCCGAAUGGGGGAACCCACUAUCUUUAGUCGGAUAGUAUCCUUACGUGAAUACAUAGCGUGAGGAAGGCAGACCCAGGGAACUGAAACAUCUAAGUACCUGGAGGAAGAGAAAGAAAAAUCGAUUUCCUGAGUAGCGGCGAGCGAAACGGAAAGAGCCCAAACCAAGAAGCUUGCUUCUUGGGGUUGUAGGACACUCUAUACGGAGUUACAAAAGAAAGUUAUAAAUGAAGCGGUCUGGAAAGGCCCGCCAAAGACGGUAACAGCCCGGUAGUUGAAAUGGCUUUCCCUCCAGAGUGGAUCCUGAGUACGGCGGAACACGUGAAAUUCCGUCGGAAUCCGGGAGGACCAUCUCCCAAGGCUAAAUACUCCCUAGUGACCGAUAGUGAACCAGUACCGUGAGGGAAAGGUGAAAAGCACCCCGGAAGGGGAGUGAAACAGUUCCUGAAACCGUGUGCCUACAAGUAGUUAGAGCCCGUUAAUGGGUGAUAGCGUGCCUUUUGUAGAAUGAACCGGCGAGUUACGAUUUGUUGCAAGGUUAAGCGGAAAAAGCGGAGCCGUAGCGAAAGCGAGUCUGAAUAGGGCGCAUAAGUAACAGGUCGUAGACCCGAAACCAGGUGAUCUACCCAUGUCCAGGAUGAAGGUAAGGUAAUACUUACUGGAGGUCCGAACCCACGCACGUUGAAAAGUGCGGGGAUGAGGUGUGGGUAGCGGAGAAAUUCCAAUCGAACUUGGAGAUAGCUGGUUCUCUCCGAAAUAGCUUUAGGGCUAGCCUCGAGGUAAAGAGUCAUGGAGGUAGAGCACUGUUUGGACUAGGGGCCCUUCUCGGGUUACCGAAUUCAGAUAAACUCCGAAUGCCAUGUACUUAUACUCGGGAGUCAGACUGCGAGUGAUAAGAUCCGUAGUCGAAAGGGAAACAGCCCAGACCACCAGUUAAGGUCCCCAAAUAUAUGUUAAGUGGAAAAGGAUGUGGGGUUGCUUAGACAACCAGGAUGUUGGCUUAGAAGCAGCCACCAUUGAAAGAGUGCGUAAUAGCUCACUGGUCGAGUGACCCCGCGCCGAAAAUGUACCGGGGCUAAACAUAUUACCGAAACUGUG